rnacentral:rRNA from 1 species
UACGGGGGGAGCAAGCGUUGUUCGGAUUUACUGGGCGUAAAGGGCGCGUAGGCGGCCACCGCAAGUCGACUGUGAAAUCUCCGGGCUUAACCCGGAAAGGUCAGCCGAUACUGCGGGGCUAGAGUGCAGAAGGGGCAACUGGAAUUCUCGGUGUAGCGGUAAAAUGCGUAGAUAUCGAGAGGAACACCUGCGGCGAAGGCGGGUUGCUGGGCUGACACUGACGCUGACAGCGCGAAAGCUAGGGGAGCGAACGGG